GAUGGACGCUGGCGGCGUGCCUAAUACAUGCAAGUCGAGCGAACGGACGAGAAGCUUGCUUCUCUGAUGUUAGCGGCGGACGGGUGAGUAACACGUGGAUAACCUACCUAUAAGACUGGGAUAACUUCGGGAAACCGGAGCUAAUACCGGAUGAUAUUUUGAACCGCAUGGUUCAAAAGUGAAAGACGGUCUUGCUGUCACUUAUAGAUGGAUCCGCGCUGCAUUAGCUAGUUGGUAAGGUAACGGCUUACCAAGGCAACGAUGCAUAGCCGACCUGAGAGGGUGAUCGGCCACACUGGAACUGAGACACGGUCCAGACUCCUACGGGAGGCAGCAGUAGGGAAUCUUCCGCAAUGGGCGAAAGCCUGACGGAGCAACGCCGCGUGAGUGAUGAAGGUCUUCGGAUCGUAAAACUCUGUUAUUAGGGAAGAACAUAUGUGUAAGUAACUGUGCACAUCUUGACGGUACCUAAUCAGAAAACCACGGCUAACUACGUG
rnacentral:rRNA from 1 species